rnacentral:rRNA from 1 species
GAUGAACGCUGGCGGCGUGCUUAACACAUGCAAGUCGAACGGAAAGGCCAGUGCUUGCACUGGUACUCGAGUGGCGGACGGGUGAGUAACACGUGGGUGAUCUGCCCUGUACUUCGGGAUAAGCUUGGGAAACUGGGUCUAAUACCGGAUAGGACAACUUUUUGGAUAUUGUUGUGGAAAGCUUUUGCGGUAUGGGAUGAGCUCGCGGCCUAUCAGCUUGUUGGUGGGGUAAUGGCCUACCAAGGCGUCGACGGGUAGCCGGCCUGAGAGGGUGUACGGCCACAUUGGGACUGAGAUACGGCCCAGACUCCUACGGGAGGCAGCAGUGGGGAAUAUUGCACAAUGGGCGCAAGCCUGAUGCAGCGACGCCGCGUGGGGGAUGAAGGCCUUCGGGUUGUAAACUCCUUUCGCUAGGGACGAAGCUUUUUUGUGACGGUACCUGGAGAAGAAGCACCGGCUAACUACGUG